rnacentral:lncRNA from 1 species
CUUCAGAACACCAAAGAGGGUGUGGACAAGCUAAUUGAAGUGAUCUGUUUUAUUUCAUACCGUUCCUCCUGGGUCUGUUCUUCAUAGAAAAGCCAUCAAGACUUUGAACUAUUAAUCAUUUGUCACAAAGACUGAUUUUACCCUUGUUUUGUCCUCCCACCUUCAUAGACACUUACCCAGAAAAACACCCUGAGAGUCCUACACUGGUAUUUUCAUUCUUUGAUGUUUCUUCCAGUGUCUGCAGAUCAGGGAAGUUACCAAGAGAUAUGUCACAGUUAUUGGAAUUACAUUGUUGUAUUCCAGAUUUUGCAAGCACCUUAUAGUUGAGUGUUAAAAUGUAAGUGUAUUUCAAUUGGGCUUCCUUUUUACAGCUUUCUGUAAAAAGUCGUAUGCACCAGGGAGCCAUCUAAUGUAUUUUACUUUUUAAAAUAAUUUUGAAAAUUUCGCUUUAAAAGCCAAAUCCCUACAUUUAUUUUCUGCUUUAAUUUAAAGACUUAUAUUAGGGUGUAAUAUUAAACCCAAAUUUGAAUGUUUUUUUCUAUUAUUUAUUUUUUCUGUCAAUUCUAUAAAGAUGAGACUAGGACUCCAUCACUUUCUAGGUAAAAAUGGUAGAACGGGGAACUUUAUUCUUAGGAGUUUCCCCAAAAUUCAACACUGACUUGCCACAUUCCUGGUAAGUUUGCCAAAGAUGACACAAGACGGUCUCAUUUUCAGAGGAAUCUUUCUGAGAUUCCAGCUGCCCCUCCCUCUUUUCCAGAACCAGCUCUCUGCCUAGUUUCAUGCAACCACCUUAUCCGCUAGGCCAAUAGAAUCCGACAUGAGUGUCCUUGCAUGCCAGGGUUGAAAAUCUGUCAACUUCUGAUGUAGUAUAUUUUUGAUGGGGGAAGACUUCUACAAGACUCUUGCCUCUUCUGGAGGACAACUGCUUCUCUCCCUUCCUUCUUCCUGAUGCCUGAGCAUUAGAUUGCGUUAGACGAAUAUCAGUCAGGCAGUUGGUGCUCCUCCUUUGAAUGGCCACUGACCUUUGCUCCGCCUCCUUGUGCCAAAAAAUAAGUUUAAUGCAUAGUUUCCACUGGAUUGAUUGGGUGCCUGCUUAGAGUUGGCUGGUGGGUUGGGUAUCAUAUAGUAAUGUUCUGCAUUGUAGCUCAUAGCAUUUUUGAAGAUGCGGUAUAGCUAUUGUUUUUUUUUUUCUUUUUGGCAUAAUCACCCAGAAAAGAGUUAUGGAGUAGUGAUGGGUUCCAUUUAGACUUGAUUCCGAGUGC